GAUUCACUAUAAAAUGUAAAAUUAUAAAAGGGAAAAAUAAGUUUUCAGACAAGCAAAAAAAAAUUGCAGUCACUUAAAAAAUACACGAACACUCUGAGUACUACUGAUCUUUCAGAUUAAAAACAUGCAUGGUCCAGUGAAGGUGUCUGAAUUUUAGACAUAUUUGGUUACACAUGGAAAUGACAAAGGAAAAAGGGUUCACUGCACUUAAAAUUACCAGGGGAGGGAGGGCAUCCGAACGUCACGGUCUUGACUGUUACAAAAUGACGUUCACUCAUGCUAUAGAAAUAAGUAAAUAACAGUGGUAAAAAAGGAAGAGCAAGCAUGGGCCAAGAAUGAAAUGGGGUAAGGGGACAUACAUACAUACACACACACACACACACACACACACACACACACGUAGAUGAACUGGGAAAAUAAUUAUUUUAAGUAGAAUUGUUUCAUUUCUGCUUUAUUCCCACCCUGCCAAAUGCAUCCCUUUCCUAAUUUACUGAACCAAAGAGGAACCUAAACAAAACUCAAACGUUGUAUAUAUUCCAGCUUUGAAAUGUCUCACUGCCACCUUCAUAACCUGUUAGACCUAAACAAUUUGUUCUUAAGUUUUGUACUUUUUAAAUUAUCUUUCUUUGCAAAAGAUGACAGAGGCAUUCAAAAAGAAUUUUUGGCUUAUUUAUUUAAAAAAAGUCAACCUUAUACAUAAAUAGAAUAAAAACAAGAACUCUAAACAAUCACAAAUGUCUCUACAAAAUAAUAAAUAUCAUGGAAGUUAAACAUACAUAUAAAACUUUACUAUUAAACUAAUCUCCUGUAUGUAUAUUUUUAUACCCUGCUCCCCCCAACAAAAGGAUAGUGUCACAUGCUCAAACCAUUUAAGUCUUGCAGUGUAGUUACCCUCUGUUGUUACUGCUACAUUCUAAACAUAAGGUUCUCAUUGUGUGUUCCUAUACCUAAAUAAAAAACAGCUAGGAAGUGCACUUCUAUAAUCCAAAUUCUGGUUCAGUUAUGAUCAUAUCUGUACCUGCCAUAAUAUACAGCAGAAUGCUCUCUCUUAAUCCAUCAAAACUAAGAAAUCUCUUGGUUAUGGUACCUGUACUAAAUGUAAAAGAUAUACUUAUUUAAUACUAAUAGUUUAAGUUAGAUACUGGCAUAGUAAAUACUCUAAUAUCUUUCACUAAAGUCAGGGAAGUAACCAAACAAUAUUAAAUUCUAAAAACAGAACUCCUCACAGGAGAUUCUUUACAAAACAAAAGCCAAAAGGAGUAAAACACAAGGGUAGUCAUUCACAUUCUAGAGCAAUUCAAGUUCUACAAUCAUUAAAAUAUACAUUAAACACCUAUGAUAAAAGGGACACCAAAAAAUUCUAGGUUUAUUUCUAAGUUUAAAUCAUAAUGAUUUGUUAAAUCACUUAGUUUUUCUUACCCAACAGCCUUCAUCUUGAUGAAAAGAGGGAAACAUGAGAGAAGGGGAAGAGAGACAGCUUUGUAGCAUUUUCUACGAUGAAUGCUGCAGCUCGAUAUACAAAGCAUCUGCCCUCUCUAAGAAGCCACAGUGCUGGCAUCCAGGACUUUACACAGCAGAUAACAACUGUGGCUUAGAGAAGCCAGUCUCAAGUGGAUUGCACAGUUGAGGGAGGGGUUAAUGUGCAGCACUCUCCACAAGACCAAUGGAGCACACUCCUAUGUGUGUCUGGUUUAGACAAUCAGUUCUACUUCAAAUAACUGCAACAUCAUCAGAGUAUCACUAUUGACAAGAAAACUGAAAUACUCAUCCUAAUAGCUCUCAGCAUCUCAAAUAAAAGGCUCACAGUACACUUACUUUUCUACUUGAAAAACAGCCAAAGAUAAGACUUUCAUGGUAGCAAUAAUAUAGUAUAGAUUUUAAUUAUUGUAUUUAUAGGCCGGAAUCCUAAUAAUUAUGCUUUAAAUUUCAGGUUAAUGUAACCUAAACAAUACUGUUCUAUGAAUUAAGGGCAAGCACUAGUGAAUCUUAUUAAGCAAAGCAUCAGAUACAUUACUUCCUUGAAUCUCGUACUUUUUAUAUAUAAACUAUGACCUUUAGCUUGAAGUACCCUAAUAUUUAGGCACAUCUUGGUUUAUUAAUACUUUUUAUAAAGAGGUUAACUUUUAAUAAGCAUGUUCACAUUAAUGUAUGAUGACUAGAUACUGGUUGUUCCCAUCUUUGAAAUACCUGAAACAUUUUUAGGUACUAAAAAUGUUCACAGAUUAUGUAAAAUAUAAAUUUUGCAUAUCCUACUUGAGUACUAUUAAGUUCAGUUAAUCCAUAUGAUUUCUUGUAUACUAAAUCAAUGAUAGUGUUGAAUAGCUGAUUUCCAGCCUGUAUUAAAACAUCUAUUUCAAUAUUCUCUCUUUUUAACCCAUGAUCAAUCAAGCUUACUGUUGCAAAGAUCUACUUAGCACUCAAGAGUUAACAGGACACUGUGCUUUGAGCGGCCACUUCCAUUUAAAGCUCUUAGCAGACCAGUAGAACACACUCAUUCAUGUAUACUGCUUCUGAAAUUUCAUCUUUGGAGCUCACUUGCUUUCAGUUAUUAAGCAUUAAUUUAUAUAAAGAAAUUACAUAAGCUAUAUAUGUAAAAACAAGUACAAAAAUCACAUAGCUGCAGCCUAUUGCAGCCACCCUUGGAAGCCAACCCUUGCUGAAUUAAGCUUAAAAUUUGCUUGCUAUAGGCUACAAAAAAAAAAAAGAAUUUUUAAGUUAAUUACAUAAAAGCAUUUCCUAAUAAAAUAUGAAAUACACUAACUUAAUGUCGCUUUUUUUACUUGAAGAAAGGUAAAUGAACAUGUUAGAACGUGUUCUAGUUAGUUUGAGGGAAAGGUGACUUACUUCAGCCUGUUCUUGUGAAUUAUUUACCACAAUCACAGUUCUGACAUACAAGGUGUUUAACAAUUUCACUUGGCAAAACUUUCUCAUCAGCUUACUCUAAAAUUUUCCUUCAAUACACCUUCAUAAGUGCAAUAAAAGCAUGUUCUAAUACAUUUCAGACCAAAAGAAUCAAAAGGUAGUCUAUUUUACUACCACCAUCCCAAAUAUGAAACUGUACAGCUAAUUCUUCCUUUUAUGAUAUUCUUAAAUCCCUAUAUGCAAAUAAGGCUACUCAUCUCUCACCUCACCUUUUCUUCAGAAGAAAAGGGAGGGGCAGACAGAGGGAGGAAAAGUUCAAAAUAUAAUAAUAGUUGCUGACAACCUACUCCUUUACUCUGAGGAUAAUCAGAUCAACAAGUUAACAAGUAUGUUUUAAUUCUUGCCAUAGAAUCAUAUAGGCUCUUUACCAAGGUUAUGCUAAAAAUCACUACAAUGUAAGUAACAGGUUUUAUUAUUUUCUAUCCCAGAGUUAGCUAAAUUUAGCAUAUGGAUCAAAUAAUCCUUAGAUUAAACCCAGAUCUUUCUUAAUGAAAGGCACUAAAAAAAAUGCAACUUAGUCUAACAGUAUAUCCACUCAUACUUUAUAGCUCAGCAGCUUUAGCUACACUAAAUGCUGGGGCAUUUAAAAUGCCAAAUAAUUAUGAUCUUUACUCCAAGGAAAGAAAAUAUAAACUUCUGCCUAUGAAAUAAUGUUUUAAAAACCCAUACUUGCCUGGUUAUUCUUUCAAAGAAAAAAAAAGACUUAUAAAUUGUACAUAUACAGAAAACAGAAGGUAAACCAUAGCCAAAAGUGACAGAAAAGCCACCAAGGAAAUAAAGCAAAAAAGAAAGCAGCGGACAAAGGGCACACCAUAGAAGAACAGCUAGUGAGGUACAGCAGGCAGAAGCUCCACAAUCGUGAAAGUCAAGUUAAAAUAUUUCAGGGAGAGGCUGGUCAGUAAAGAAGCUGAGUCAGGGGCUUUUUUCUUCUA
rnacentral:lncRNA from 1 species